ensembl:lncRNA
CCAGAGUGUUCCAUUUCAAUGGUGCUAUCAAUGCUUUUCAGGGUUUUUUUAAAGGUUUGUCAAGAGCAGGAUCACAGUGAGGUACUUGCUGGCCCUUGUCUUCUCAUCUGCACCUGGAAGAUGCUUGUGGCAGUGAAGAACACAGAACCAGUUGUUCUCUAAGGGCCCAGACUUGUUCUGGUAAAAAUUCAGUGUUCUUCUCUCCUAAAAGUGCUCCUAGACACAGGAGAAAUUGGAAGUGCAUAGCAGGCCUGCCAGGACUGGAGUGAGGAUGUAACAACACAGUCCGGUGUUUUUUAAGGAUGGGAUUGAAAUUGGCUCAGAAAGGCUGUCCAGCCUGGGAGCUGCAGAAGGGAACACAGCAGACAAUACCCCGUAGUCCUGCCUGCGGUGUUCCUCACGCGUUUGGAAGCAGCCGGAGCUGCCAGCGGCAGGGCGGGAGCAGCUCUGGCUGCGGCCCUGCGGGACACACGAGAGCUCCCGGAGGAAAACACGGGCUGGCCGGGGCAGGGACAGCCGCGCUCCCCGCCCCGCCCCGCCUGGCGUCAUGGAAUUCCAGGGCGCUCCCGCCAAUGGCGGCGGGGGCACGGCCGGUGGCGCGGGGGAUCGGCCCCGCCGCUGGCCUCGGGGCUCGGGCACGCCCGGCAGGCCCCGCCGCAGCCCCGAGCGCGGCGGAGCAGCUCCGCCUGCGGGAGAAGGGAGCGGGAACCGCCGGACCGAGAGCCCUUCCCGCACCCCCGGGAGUGGGCACAGCAAAAGCGGACACGGACGGGCUAUGGAGGGAUGAGCUUGUUAACCUCCGGCAGCUUCCUGCGGCUGGGAACUGGUGCUCUGCCCUCUUAUAACUUUUCCAUCAUGGGAUGCGUGUGGUGUGUGGGGAAUUGAUGCCAGUUUCGGUGCCUGACUUUCAGCGUUUACUGAGCAUUUGCAAAUAGUCUGAUUGUAUAAUACUAAACAGCUCAGAGUUCACUUUGGGCUGUCCAGUAAGGUGCUAUUAUCUCAUAAAAUACUAUCCACCAAUCCACCAAUACUUCUGCAAGUAUAAAUAAAAUCCUUUGUGGUUUCUCUUUCCUGACA